rnacentral:rRNA from 1 species
AGGUCAAGUGAAGAAGGGCGCACGGUGAAUGCCUUGGCACUGGAAGCCGAUGAAGGACGCGACUAACCGCGAAAGUCUUCGGGGAGCCGUAAGUAGGCUUUGAUCCGGAGGUCUCCGAAUGGGGGAACCCAGCAUGUGCAGACAUGCUAUCCUUAAGUGAAUACAUAGCUUAAGGAGGGAACACGCAGUGAACUGAAACAUCUAAGUAGCUGCAGGAAGAGAAAGAAAUAUCGAUUUCCCAAGUAGCGGCGAGCGAACAGGAAAGAGCCCAAACCGGCAGAUUUAUCUGCCGGGGUUGUAGGACUGAGACAUGGCACUUCAGAGGAUAGCAGAAGCGUUUGGGAAAGCGCGCCAGAGAGGGUGAGAGCCCCGUAAGCGAAAUCCAAAGAAGGCCUAUCAGUAUCCUGAGUAGGGCGGGACACGUGAAAUCCCGUUUGAAUCCGCGAGGACCAUCUCGCAAGGCUAAAUACUAACCAGUGACCGAUAGUGAACCAGUACCGUGAGGGAAAGGUGAAAAGAACCCCGGGAGGGGAGUGAAAGAGAACCUGAAACCGUGUGCCUACAAGUAGUCAGAGCCCGUUAACGGGUAAUGGCGUGCCUUUUGUAGAAUGAACCGGCGAGUUGCGUUAGUCAGCAAGGUUAAGUCAGAAAAGACGGAGCCGUAGCGAAAGCGAGUCUGAAGAGGGCGAGCAGUUGGCUGACGCAGACCCGAAACCAAGUGACCUACCCAUGACCAGGUUGAAGGCGCGGUAAAACGCGCUGGAGGACCGAACCCACGUAAGUUGAAAAUUGCGGGGAUGAGUUGUGGGUAGCGGUGAAAUUCCAAACGAACUUGGAGAUAGCUGGUUCUCUCCGAAAUAGCUUUAGGGCUAGCCUCGCAAAGAGGAUGCUGGAGGUAGAGCUCUGUUUGGACUAGGGGCCCGUCAAGGGUUACUGAAUUCAGAUAAACUGCGAAUUCCAGACAUUUAUGUGCGGGAGUCAGACUGCGAGUGAUAAGAUCCGUAGUCGAAAGGGAAACAGCCCAGAUCACCAGUUAAGGUCCCAAAAUUCAUGCUAAGUGGAAAAGGAUGUGGAGUUGCGCAGACAACUAGGACGUUGGCUCAGAAGCAGCCAUCAUUCAAAGAGUGCGUAAUAGCUCACUAGUCGAGUGACGCCGCGCCGAAAAUUUACCGGGGCUAAGCAUGAUACCGAAACUGUGGAUGUGCAUUUAUGCACGUGGUAGGAGAGCGUUCUAGCGGCGGUGAAGCAUGAC